rnacentral:rRNA from 1 species
UACGAAGGGGGCUGGCGUUGCUCGGAAUCACUGGGCGUAAAGCGCACGUAGGCGGAUUGCUAAGUCAGGGGUGAAAUCCUGGAGCUCAACUCCAGAACUGCCUUUGAUACUGGCGACCUUGAGUCCGGGAGAGGUGAGUGGAACUGCGAGUGUAGAGGUGAAAUUCGUAGAUAUUCGGAGGAACACCAGUGGCGAAGGCGGCUCACUGGUCCGGUACUGACGCUGAGGUGCGAAAGCGUGGGGAGCAAACAGG